rnacentral:rRNA from 1 species
CAAGACCUUUCGCUUUCGGAGUGGCCGAUAUCAGAUUAGCUAGUUGGUGAGGUAAAGGCUCACCAAGGCGACGAUCUGUAGCGGGUCUGAGAGGAUGAUCCGCCACACUGGGACUGAGACACGGCCCAGACUCCUACGGGAGGCAGCAGUGGGGAAUUUUGGACAAUGGGGGCAACCCUGAUCCAGCCAUGCCGCGUGAGUGAAGAAGGCCCUCGGGUUGUAAAGCUCUCUCAGCCAGAAAGAAAUCGCACCGAUUAAUACUCGGUGUGGAUGACGGUACCGGAAGAAGAAGCACCGGCUAACUACGUGCCAGCAGCCGCGGUAAUACGUAGGGUGCGAGCGUUAAUCGGAAUUACUGGGCGUAAAGCGUGCGCAGGCGGUUUUGUAAGACAGGCGUGAAAUCCCCGGGCUUAACCUGGGAACUGCGUUUGAAACUACAAAG